rnacentral:lncRNA from 1 species
UCAUAUAUUUAGUAUAAUAAACAAGAAGUAUAUCUCGCAUGGUUUAAUAGAAACUUUUAUCUUGGAUAUUUGUUAUUGUUUCACACAUAUUUUAGUAAACGAUAUAUUAUUUUUUAGCUAAACAUUUAUAUUUAUAAACUUCUAACCAAAGAAAGAAACUUGAAUAAAUGUCUUUUGUUGUGGAAAGAUAAGUCAUAGGUCUUGCCCAUCUAAUAUAUUUCCCCUACUUGCCCUACAAGAUGGGAUUGAGGC